AUCCUGAGCUAAGGACAGCAUAUAUGAUAAAAUCAGAGUGAUACAGAGAAGAUUGUCAUGGCACCUGUGCAAAGAUGACACACAAAUUUAGGAAGUAUUCCAUAUUAAA
rnacentral:snRNA from 1 species